rnacentral:tRNA from 1 species
UCCCUGGUGGCUCAGCUGGUAAAGAACCUGCCUGCAAUGCAGGAGACCUGGGUUCGAUCCCUGGGUUGGGAA